AGAGUUUGAUCCUGGCUCAGGAUGAACGCUGGCGGCGUGCCUAAUACAUGCAAGUCGAGCGAACGGACGAGAAGUUUGCUUCUCUGAUGUUAGCGGCGGACGGGUGAGUAACACGUGGAUAACCUACCUAUAAGACUGGGAUAACUUCGGGAAACCGGAGCUAAUACCGGAUGAUAUUUUGAACCGCAUGGUUCAAAAGUGAAAGACGGUCUUGCUGUCACUUAUAGAUGGAUCCGCGCUGCAUUAGCUAGUUGGUAAGGUAACGGCUUACCAAGGCAACGAUGCAUAGCCGACCUGAGAGGGUGAUCGGCCACACUGGAACUGAGACACGGUCCAGACUCCUACGGGAGGCAGCAGUAGGGAAUCUUCCGCAAUGGGCGAAAGCCUGACGGAGCAACGCCGCGUGAGUGAUGAAGGUCUUCGGAUCGUAAAACUCUGUUAUUAGGGAAGAACAUAUGUGUAAGUAACUGUGCACAUCUUGACGGUACCUAAUCAGAAAGCCACGGCUAACUACGUGCCAGCAGCCGCGGUAAUACGUAGGUGGCAAGCGUUAUCCGGAAUUAUUGGGCGUAAAGCGCGCGUAGGCGGUUUUUUAAGUCUGAUGUGAAAGCCCACGGCUCAACCGUGGAGGGUCAUUGGAAACUGGAAAACUUGAGUGCAGAAGAGGAAAGUGGAAUUCCAUGUGUAGCGGUGAAAUGCGCAGAGAUAUGGAGGAACACCAGUGGCGAAGGCGACUUUCUGGUCUGUAACUGACGCUGAUGUGCGAAAGCGUGGGGAUCAAACAGGAUUAGAUACCCUGGUAGUCCACGCCGUAAACGAUGAGUGCUAAGUGUUAGGGGGUUUCCGCCCCUUAGUGCUGCAGCUAACGCAUUAAGCACUCCGCCUGGGGAGUACGACCGCAAGGUUGAAACUCAAAGGAAUUGACGGGGACCCGCACAAGCGGUGGAGCAUGUGGUUUAAUUCGAAGCAACGCGAAGAACCUUACCAAAUCUUGACAUCCUUUGACAACUCUAGAGAUAGAGCCUUCCCCUUCGGGGGACAAAGUGACAGGUGGUGCAUGGUUGUCGUCAGCUCGUGUCGUGAGAUGUUGGGUUAAGUCCCGCAACGAGCGCAACCCUUAAGCUUAGUUGCCAUCAUUAAGUUGGGCACUCUAAGUUGACUGCCGGUGACAAACCGGAGGAAGGUGGGGAUGACGUCAAAUCAUCAUGCCCCUUAUGAUUUGGGCUACACACGUGCUACAAUGGACAAUACAAAGGGCAGCGAAACCGCGAGGUCAAGCAAAUCCCAUAAAGUUGUUCUCAGUUCGGAUUGUAGUCUGCAACUCGACUACAUGAAGCUGGAAUCGCUAGUAAUCGUAGAUCAGCAUGCUACGGUGAAUACGUUCCCGGGUCUUGUACACACCGCCCGUCACACCACGAGAGUUUGUAACACCCGAAGCCGGUGGAGUAACCUUUUAGGAGCUAGCCGUCGAAGGUGGGACAAAUGAUUGGGGUGAAGUCGUAACAAGGUAGCCGUAUCGGAAGGUGCGGCUGGAUCACCU
rnacentral:rRNA from 4 species